ensembl:lncRNA
UGUUAUAUGGCUUCUGGAGCACACAAACAUGUAUAAGGUCACAGCACUUGUCCUCAACCCCCCACCACCCAAAAAAUGUGUUUUAGCGGGAUGCAUGUGAAUUUUUGUGGUGGCAAAGCCAAGCAAAAGAGAGAAUAAUUGAAUUUGGCCACUAAUGACAGGAAUGCAAAUGCAUCACUCCAUGUGUUUUACAACUUUUGGUUGUAUAGUAAGUGACAUGAUAUUACAUUCUGGAGAGUAAGAAACACUUUUCUGACACAGAAGGUUAGGAAGAAAAAUAAGAUUUUAUGAGUUAAGCUUGAGUGAGAGACAGAUGGGAUGAGAAAAACAGAGUUAUUUAAUGUUAUCUGCACUAGGAAAAAAAAAAAACAUAGAAAUUGUGAUGUGUCUCCUUGCUGAUUUUCUAAGCAAACAAUCUGUAGCAAUUGUGCUGUGUGGCAGGAAAUUAUCUGAAAUAAUGAACUGGUCAUGAACACUAAAACUGAUACUCUUCUCAUCGGCAUCCAAAAUUUGGAACCUGCCAAAAAAUUCUAAUUGCAGUAUACUCAGUCCAAAUUAUUUUACUACUUGCCAAGAAGGACUUUGAAAUAUUUGGCAGAGUCUUCCAUCAGGAAAAAAUGAAACAAGAGAAUGAAAUGGAACACAAUAAAGAAAGAACAUCCCCUGGAAAAACAUCAGGUCUGGGGAGGUUGGCCUUUUAGAAAGAGCUGAUAACUGCAUAACUCAUAAUGAGUAAAUCUAAUCAGAACUGAUUUACCAGACAGAAACAAAAUGCAUUCAGAUUAAAAACCUCUCGAAUUUAAAGGUGAUACUUUUUAGAAUGAGUGCCAGAAUACUGUGACAUUCAUGAGUGCAUAGAAAGACCACUAAAGGUAGGAGCUGUCGAUAGAAGUCUUCUGCUUGGCCCUCCUGAUGAGAGCAAAUGGAAAAAGAUGUUCUUAGAUAUUUGUGUCACAGCAAGACCAUUUGAUUGACUGAACAUAGAGGAAGGAGUAGGCAUGAUGCUGAAUGUCGUGACACGUCUCUGGACCAUGGAUUAUAGUUGUACUUCUUGUCAUACUGAUCCAGUUAAAUAGAUGUUUAUUUCCAAGGUUUUGUUUUUUUUAAUAGACACCUUGUGCUUUGUGAAAGUUCUGUUAUUUCCUUACAUUUAUAAUUUACAAGAAAGUGAAUAUCAUUUCCUGCACUAAGCCCAUCGGCCAAGGUUGCUUGUGAAAAUGUUAAUUUCUCACAGCUUCUGUAUUUUUUAUUUUUAUUUUUUUUAAUUCUAAAACAAUUCUUCAUUUUCUUGGAAUUGUGGUAUGUUCUUCAUGCAGGCGGACCAAAAGAUUAAGGUCUCAUCAUUUCAGGACUUAAACUUACUGUUAGCAAUUGGCCUUUUCUAGGGAGUGGAUAAAUUUAUAUCUGUCUAAUGUGCAGUUGUUCAUGUUUAGUUCUGGCAACUGUCAGAGAUGAGCGUGCUGAAGUGUUUGGGACCUGAUCCAUUGUAACACUUCAGAUAGUCCUAAAGUAGCUAAAGAAUGUCACAUGAAAACUGUUGCCAAGAGAGUCACAGAUGUGUUUGGGCUGCAAGGUAAAUUGUCUAUCUUUCAGCUUCUUAUUUUCUCUUUUCAAAAUCACCAUACCACCUAGGGUUUUAACUGACAUAGUUUUAGGUUUGGCCUUUUGUGUAGUUGCUGAAUUCAUCUCAAUAUUAAUGAAAAUAUGUGGUUUAAUCAUAGAAGGAUAUAUCACUUUGCAUCUAACUUUAGCUAUGACUAAGCAAUGCUUCAAGAAAGAUAAAUAUAAGAGAAAGCAAUACUACUGACUUGUAAGUUUAAUGUCAAACCAAUAAAAAUAAUUCUUUUUGGGAUUGCAAAAUAUUGCUCAUUAAUUGUAACAAGUGGUUCCUUGGCUUUAUGCUGAGACUAGUGUAGAUAGAUACAUUUUAAUACCUAAUGAAGAUUAUGAUCUGAUUUCCAAAAGGGCAUAUUUAUCCUAUUUUUAGGUGACUUUUGUUUACUUAAUGUCUCUGAAGAUAUUAUCCUAUAAUACUGAUUGUACUGUAUGCCAGAAUGGUGGAAUCAUUCCCAAACUUUUUUUUCCCCCAUCUUUUUCCUUUGCUUAGAUUCCUAUCUGAAAGAAAAAUGUCCCC